UGGGGAAUAUUGCACAAUGGGCGCAAGCCUGAUGCAGCCAUGCCGCGUGUAUGAAGAAGGCCUUCGGGUUGUAAAGUACUUUCAGUCGGGAGGAAGGUGUCAAGGUUAAUAACCUUGGCAAUUGACGUUACCGACAGAAGAAGCACCGGCUAACUCCGUGCCAGCAGCCGCGGUAAUACGGAGGGUGCAAGCGUUAAUCGGAAUUACUGGGCGUAAAGCGCACGCAGGCGGUUGAUUGAGUCAGAUGUGAAAUCCCCGGGCUUAACCCGGGAAUUGCAUCUGAUACUGGUCAGCUAGAGUCUUGUAGAGGGGGGUAGAAUUCCAUGUGUAGCGGUGAAAUGCGUAGAGAUGUGGAGGAAUACCGGUGGCGAAGGCGGCCCCCUGGACAAAGACUGACGCUCAGGUGCGAAAGCGUGGGGAGCGAACAGG
rnacentral:rRNA from 1 species